rnacentral:rRNA from 1 species
UGAGGAACAUGACCUUCGGCGGGGGGAUAGCCGGCCCAACGGCCGGGUAAUACCGCGCACGACCACAUGGGGACAUCCCCGAGUGGUGAAAGCAGCAAUGCGCCGAUGGAGUGCCUCGCGGCCUAUCAGCUAGGUUGGUGAGGUAACGGCUCACCAAGGCAACGNUGCGUAGCCGACCUGAGAGGGUGAUCGGCCANAUUGGAACUGAGACACGGUCCAGACCUGUAACCGGGGA